GAUGAACGCUAGCGGCAGGCUUAACACAUGCAAGUCGAGGGGUAUAGUAGCAAUACUAGAGACCGGCGCACGGGUGCGUAACGCGUAUGCAACCUACCUUUUACAGAGGGAUAGCCCAGAGAAAUUUGGAUUAAUACCUCAUAGUGUUAUUAGAUGGCAUCAUUUGAUAACUAAAGUUCCAACGGUAAAGAUGGGCAUGCGUCCUAUUAGCUAGAUGGUAAGGUAACGGCUUACCAUGGCUACGAUAGGUAGGGUCCUGAGAGGGAGAUCCCCCACACUGGUACUGAGACACGGACCAGACUCCUACGGGAGGCAGCAGUGAGGAAUAUUGGACAAUGGGCGCAAGCCUGAUCCAGCCAUGCCGCGUGCAGGAAGAAGCAAUCUAUGGUGUGUAAACUGCUUUUGUACGGGAAGAAACACUCCUACGUGUAGGAGCUUGACGGUACCGUAAG
rnacentral:rRNA from 1 species